UCUGGUUGAUCCUGCCAGUAGUCAUAUGCUUGUCUCAAAGAUUAAGCAUGCAUGUGUAAGUAUGAACUAAUUAGACUGUGAAACUGCGAAUGGCUCAUUAAUUCAAUUAUAGUUUGUUUGAUGGUACCAGCUACUCUGAUAAUCGUAGUCAUUCUAGAGCUAAUACGUGCAACAAACCCAGACUUCUGGAAGGGAUGCAUUUAUUAGAUAAAAGGUCAACACGAGCUCUGCUCGUUGCUGCGAUGAUUCAUCAUAACUCGAUGAAUCACACAGCUCUCGUGCCGGUGACGCAUCAUUCAAAUUUCUGCCCUAUCAACUUUCGAUAGUAGGAUAGUGGCCUACCAUGGUGGUGAUGGGUGACGAAGAAUUAGGGUUCGAUUCCAGAGAGGGAGCCUGAGAAAUGGCUACCACAUCCAAGGAAGGCAUCAGGCGCGCAAAUUACACUAUCUUAACACGGGGAGGUAGUGACAAUAAAUAAUAAUAUCGGGCUCUUCGAGUCUGGUAAUUGGAAUGAGUACAAUCUAAAUCUGGUGCCAACAUCCGCGGUAAUUCCAACUCUAAUAGCGUAUAUUUAAGUUGUUGCGGUUAAAAAGCUCGUAGUUGGACUUUGGGUUGGGCCGGCCGAUCCGCCUUCCAUUGUGCACCGCUCGUCUCGUCCCUUCUAACGGCGAUGCGCUCAUGGUCUUAACUAGCCGGGUCGUGCCUCUGGCACUGUUACUUUGAAGAAAUUAGAGUGCUCAAAGCAAGCCUACGCUCUGGAUACAUUAGCAUGGGAUAACAUUAUAGGAUUUCGGUCAUAUUACGUUGGCCUUCGGGAUCGGAGUAAUGAUUAACAGGGACAGUCGGGGGCAUUCAUAUUUCAUAGUUAGAGGUGAAAUUCUUGGAUUUAUGAAAGAUGAAAAACUACUAAAGCAUUUGCCAAGGAUGUUUUCAUUAAUCAAGAAUGAAAGUUGGGGCUCGAAGAUGAUCAGAUACCGUCCUAGUCUCAACUAUAAACGAUGCCGACCAGGGAUCGGCGGAUGUUGCUUAAAGGGCUCUGUCUGCACCUUAUGAGAAAUAAAAGUCUUUGGGUUUCGGGGGGAGUAUGGUCGCAAGCCUGAAACUUGAAGGAAUUGACGGAAGGACACCACAAGAAGUGGAGCCUGCGGCUUAAUUUGACUCAACAUAGGGAAACUUACCAGGUCAAGACAUAGUAAGGAUUGACAGACUGAGAGCUCUUUCUUGAUUCUAUGGGUGGUGGGGCAUGGCCGUUCUUAGUUGGUGGAGCGAUUUGUCCGGUUAAUUCUAUUAACGAACAAGACCUCAGUCUACUAACUAGCUAUGCGGAGGUAUCCCUCCGCGGCCAGCUUCUUAGAGGGACUACGGUCUUUUAGGCCGCAGAAGUCUCAGGUAAUUAUAGGUCUGUGAUGCCCUUAGAUGUUCUGGGCCGCAUGCACGCUACACUAAUGUAUUCAACGAGUUUAUAGCCUUGGCCGAUAGGCCCGGGUAAUCUUUGAAAUUUCAUCAUGAUAGGGAUAGAUCAUUGCAAUUGUUGGUCUUUAAUGAGGAAUUCCUAGUAAGCGCGAGUCUUCAGCUCAUGUUGACUACGUCCCUGCCCUUUGUACACACCGCCUGUUGCUCCUAACAAUUGAAUGGUUCGGUGAAGUGUUUGGAUCAAGGCAACGUGGGCGGUUCGCUGCCCGCAAUGUAGCGAGAAGUCCACUGAGAAACUGCAAAGUAGACCGCGAACACGUUCAGAAAUACUGGGAUUCCACAUUGUCGGCU
rnacentral:rRNA from 1 species